AGAAAAUAAUUUGAAAAAUAAACUUUUCUCUUUUUUCAGUGAGUGCAUUGGUCUUGCAAAAUUUGAAGAAAAUGGCUGUUCUUCAUUGAUAAACAAGUUUAUAAUUCUAACUUCUCUGAAGUGCAUUAGAGUCUCCUAGAACCGAGAUGUGUCUUCCCUGAAGGGCCCACUCUACUCUCAGCUGCCAUGCUAAGUGUGAAAAUACAGAAGUGAAGGCACAUGGUUUUUGCCCAAGAGCUGGAGUUCUUAGUCGCAUAUACACAGUAUGGUGAUUGACAGCUGGAUUGACUCCCCACCCUGACUUUCUGUGCCUAGAGAGACAGCAGAUCCAGACAUCUGACCAAAAGGCCCUCAGCUACAACCACUACAGUGCAGGUGACUGAUGAAGAUGAAGCUGGUAGAGAAAGUGAGGUUGAGGAGGAUAGCAGCAGAGAGCAGGUGCUGGCUGAGAUGGUAAAUGGAGGCCCUUGAAGGUGAGGUGACUUGCUGUAGCCCUAAGGCAUGGAAGCAGGAAUAGAAUACAGUGGCCCUGCCAGUCCUGAGUCCUGGUCUCCUCAAGUUCUGCCU